rnacentral:rRNA from 1 species
UACAGAGGGUGCAAGCGUUGUUCGGAAUGACUGGGCGUAAAGCGCGCGUAGGCGGCCUUUUAAGUCGAACGUGAAAUCCCCGGGCUCAACCCGGGAACUGCGUCCGAUACUGGAAGGCUUGAAUCCGGGAGAGGGAUGCGGAAUUCCAGGUGUAGCGGUGAAAUGCGUAGAUAUCUGGAGGAACACCGGUGGCGAAGGCGGCAUCCUGGACCGGUAUUGACGCUGAGGCACGAAAGCCAGGGGAGCAAACGGG